CGCAUCUUGCACUCCUUGGUAUUCCGAGGAGUAUGCCUGUUUGAGUGUCGUGAAUACUCUCAAGCUUGACCUUUUUUUCAUUAAGGAGGUCAUAGUUUGGAUUUGGAUGUUGCUGCGGUUGAACUACCGCAGCUCGUCUCGAAAUGUAUUAGCUGGUCCACCGCGGUCUAUUAUAAAACUCUAUGGUGUGAUAAGAACACAAAUUCUUUGUAGCGCUAUGGUGAAUAGACUUGCUGGGAUGUGACUGCUUCUAAUAGUCCAUUGACUUGGACAAUAUCACUUUGUUAUCUGACCUCAAAUCAGGUAGGACUACCCGCUGAACUUAA
rnacentral:misc_RNA from 1 species